CGAUUUGGAGUUUGUUGCCUAGAGUGAUGGGCUCCGAAGCUAACGCGAUAAAUCGACCGCCUGGGAGUACGGCCGCAAGGUUAAAACUCAAAUGAAUUGACGGGGGCCCGCACAAGCGGUGGAGCAUGUGGUUUAAUUCGAUGCAACGCGAAGAACCUUACCUGGUCUUGACAUCCAUAGAAUUCUGCAGAGAUGUGGGAGUGCCUUCGGGAACUAUGAGACAGGUGCUGCAUGGCUGUCGUCAGCUCGUGUUGUGAAAUGUUGGGUUAAGUCCCGCAACGAGCGCAACCCUUAUUCUUUGUUGCCAGCGAUUUGGUCGGGAACUCAAAGGAGACUGCCGUUGAUAAAGCGGAGGAAGGUGGGGACGACGUCAAGUCAUCAUGGCCCUUACGACCAGGGCUACACAUGUGCUACAAUGGCGUAUACAAAGGGAAGCGAAGGUGCGAGCUGGAGCGGAUCUCAUAAAGUACGUCUAAGUUCGGAUUGGAGUCUGCAACUCGACUCCAUGAAGUCGGAAUCGCUAGUAAUCGUAGAUCAGAAUGCUACGGUGAAUACGUUCCCGGGCCUUGUACACACCGCCCGUCACACCAUGGGAGUGGGUUGCACCAGAAGUAGAUAGCUUAACCGCGAGGGGGGCGUUUACCACGGUGUGAUUCAUGACUGGGGUGAAGUCGUAACAAGGUAACCA
rnacentral:rRNA from 1 species